rnacentral:rRNA from 1 species
AACGAACGCUGGCGGCAUGCCUAACACAUGCAAGUCGAACGCCCCGCAAGGGGAGUGGCGAACGGGUGAGUAACACGUGGGAACCUACCCAGCAGUUGGGGAUAACCGCGGGAAACUGCGGCUAAUACCGAAUACGUCCUAAGGGAGAAAGAUUUAUCGCUGUUGGAGGGGCCAGCGUCGUAUUAGCUAGUUGGUGAGGUAACGGAUCACCAAGGCGACGAUCCGUAGCUGGUCUGAGAGGAUGAUCAGCCACACUGGGACUUAGACACGGCCCAGACUCCUACAGGAGGCAGCAGUGGGGAAUAUUGGACAAUGGGGGCAACCCUGAUCCAGCAAUGCCGCGUGAGUGAUGAAGGCCUUAGGGUUGUAAAGCUCUUUUACCGGGGACGAUGAUGACGGUACCCGGAGAAUAAGCCCCGGCUAACUUCGUGCCAGCCGCCGCAGUAA